GGCAGUCCUUUAUUUGUAGAGUUUAAACGAGUAAAUUAUUCUGUCAAACAUAAUGACACUGCUUGUGAACUCAAAUGUUUAUUUUUGUAUGAUUUGGAAUGCGCGUUUGCGCAAGGGCUUAACCCAGUACUACGCGGUGAUGCGAACCUACUUGCGUAUGUUUGCAUAAGCUUAAUGGCGUGGCGUGUUAAAUAAACUCGUUUUAUAUAA